rnacentral:rRNA from 1 species
GAAAGCCGAGACGGCGCGGGAUGGGGUCGCGGCCCAUUAGGUAGACGGCGGGGUAACGGCCCACCGUGCCCGCGAUGGGUAGCCGGACUGAGAGGUCGACCGGCCACAUUGGGACUGAGAUACGGCCCAGACUCCUACGGGAGGCAGCAGUGGGGAAUUUUGCGCAAUGGGGGAAACCCUGACGCAGCAACGCCGCGUGCGGGACGAAGGCCCUCGGGUUGUAGACCGCUUUCAGCAGGGAAGAUCCAAGACGGUACCUGCAGAAGAAGCUCCGGCUAACUACGUGCCAGCAGCCGCGGUAAUACGUAGGGGGCGAGCGUUAUCCGGAUUCAUUGGGCGUAAAGCGCGCGUAGGCGGCCGCCUAAGCGGGACCUCUAACCCCGGGGCUCAACCCCGGGCCGGGUCCCGGACUGGGCGGCUCGAGUGCGGUAGAGGAGAGCGGAAUUCCCGGUGUAGCGGUGGAAUGCGCAGAUAUCGGGAAGAACACCGAUGGCGAAGGCAGCUCUCUGGGCCGUCACUGACGCUGAGGCGCGAAAGCUGGGGGAGCGAACAGGAUUAGAUACCCUGGUAGUCCCAGCCGUAAACGAUGGGCGCUAGGUGUGGGGGGACGAUCCCUCC